rnacentral:rRNA from 1 species
CCUACGGGAGGCAGCAGUGGGGGAUAUUUCACAAUGGAGGAAACUCUGAUGCAGCGACGCCGCGUGAGGGAAGACGGUCUUCGGAUUGUAAACCUCUGUCUUUGGGGAAGAAAAUGAUGGUACCCAAAGAGGAAGCUCCGGCUAACUACGUGCCAGCAGCCGCGGUAAUACGUAGGGAGCGAGCGUUGUCCGGAAUUACUGGGUGUAAAGAGUUGCGUAGGUGGCAUAAUAAGUAGCUAGUGAAAUCUGGUGGCGCAACCAUUCAGACUAUUAGCUAAACUGUUAAGCUCGAGACCGUUAGGGGUAACUGGAAUUUCUAGUGUAGGAGUGAAAUCCGUAGAUAUUAGAAGGAACACCAAUAGCGUAGGCAGGUUACUGGGACGGUUCUGACACUAAGGCACGAAAGCGUAGGGAGCAAACGGGAUUAGAUACCCGAGUAGUC